GAUGAAGAACGUAGCGAAAUGCGAUAAGUAAUGUGAAUUGCAGAAUUCAGUGAAUCAUCGAAUCUUUGAACGCACAUUGCGCCCGCUAGUAUUCUGGCGGGCAUGCCUGUCCGAGCGUCAUUUCAACCCUCAAGCCCCCGGGCUUGGUGUUGGGGAUCGGCGAGCCUCCGCGCCCGCCGUCCCCUAAAUCUAGUGGCGGUCUCGCUGUAGCUUCCUCUGCGUAGUAGCACACCUCGCACUGGGAAACAGCGCGGCCACGCCGUUAAACCCCCAACUUCUGAACGUUUGACCUCGGAUCAGGUAGGAAUACCCGCUGAACUUAAGCAUAGCAAUAAGCGGAGGA
rnacentral:misc_RNA from 1 species